CAAUUUGACGAUUUUUGACAUGUAGCUCUGCCAGUGACACCCACAGAUAAAUUGAUCCAGUUCUAUCAGACCCAAGACAAAGGUUUUCAACUGCAUUAAAGGGCAAACGAAAACUGACCGAUGAGGCAAUCACUAGCACCACGUCUAAAGGGCACGGAAAUACAGCCAGGCAGAGUCAAGAUGUGCUGUAAAUAGAAACUACAGUCAGAUUUCAAAGACUGAAACCAAAAAGUGCAUUUUGUUUCACUAAUAAUUUGUGUAUUGACUCUGUUGAAAUGAUAAUAUUUUGGGAAU